UCAUCGUUGGAGACAUCAGUCCUUUCAGAGCCCCUCACAGCACAAUGAUGACCACUCUGAUCCUCCUGCUGACCGCACUGGGCUUCUUUCCUCAAGCAUCCCACCAAGAGGUCCAGACUCCUGAGAGAAGUUCUGUAGAACCAGGACAGUCCGUCACCUUCAGCUGUGUUGCAGAUCGUGGGAUCGGUUAUGCCAUGAGUUGGUACCAGUUGAAACCUGGAGCAGCUCCUAAAACGCUGAUUUAUGGAUCAAGUUAUAGAAAUUCUGGAGUUCCACAGCGAUUCAGUGGAACAAACUCUGGAUACACCUUUACGAUGACCAUCAGUGGAGUCCAGCCUGAAGAUGCAGGAGAGUAUUACUGUAUGGGUGGUUACAGUGGUCCAGAAUUCACACAGUGAAAAAGAGUCGUACAAAAACCUCCAUCGGUCAGAGAUGAGACUCUACACUGCUGCAGCUGCAGCUACUGAACCACAGUGUUAUUGUUAUUUUUGAAUUGCAGCUUUUGUUUUUAAUUUCCUUCAUUAUUUUUCUUCAGAUAAAAGAAACCUCUGUGUCUAAUUUAAACUUUUUUAUAAUCAAUAACCACUCACUGUGUUUAAAAUCAUACUUUUCCUUCAAAGUGUGUUUAAUUUGGCAGACACUGUGAUCCUGAAUAACUUAGUGUUGUAGUGUUAUCCACUACACUACACCAG